GAAAGACGCUAGAAGGCUCAGCUGAGGCAAGUCUGCUAUGCUAAGGCCAGGGCCCUGGUUAGGAAAACCGGGGUCCUAACACAUGGGACGGGGACACCUGUAUAUUUUGCCUGCCCCCCAGACUCUGCACUAUCAGAGCACGGAGAGUUGGCCCACCUCCGGCUAACGAGGUAGUGAGAAUGUUUAAGCAGGGAGUUUAGGGUGGUCACACCAACAAAAUGUCACAAAGUCUUGGCCAGUUCUUGGACCUCAUCCAGUUUUUACAUCUUUGUAGAAGGGGACACUCACUGGUGGAAGGGGUGCCUGGGUCUCCAGGAGAAAGGACUGUGCUAUACCACAGCAAGCUUAUACUGAAAGAAGAUCAGAAACAGCUCACAUUCACGUGGCAUGGACAACAAUACACAUUCAUAGUUUUAUCCCAGGGCUGUGUGGGUCCUCUUCUCCUUGUCACAAUAGUCCAGAAGAGAUGUAGACCAGUGGGCAUCCUGCGGAACAUCACAUUGAUCCAUGACAUCCAUGACGUCACACUGACCAGGAGGCGGGGCAAGAGGCACGCGUGGCCGGUCCUCGGCGAACCGCCAAAUGGACACAUUUAGGGACACGAUCAAGUCUGUUCAGAUGAGGACACUAACGAGAAGACGGGGGGCACAUACUCAGAUAGUCAGAGCAACAAGUUGGCGGGACUUUGCUUUUGUUUUCCUCCAACCUGUUCUUUCCGCCUGCUGCAGAGAAGGGCUCCGGUCAACAAUAGUGGUCUCUCGUUCCACUAACGAGGUCCGGUGGUGGUGGUGGUGGCAGUGUCAGGGUGAUGGGUACUCACAGUGGUGGAGACACUGGUGACAACCCCGCGGUGGUUGCAGUGACGGUAUAGAUGUCAGUAGUAGUGAACCCCGUGAGUGUGGUUAUAGUGACAUGGUACUGGUGUCAGCUGUGGAGACAGUGAGGUGAGUGGUGGUGUUGGUGGUGGCCAGUUUGGUGGGGCUAUGAUGGUCAUGGUAAUGACAGACAGUGAUGGUGGGAGGGUGAGGUGACAAUGGUGCUGAUUACGUGGUUGUGGGCAGUGAUGGCACGAUGAUGUCGGUGCUCAUGGAUGGUGGUGAAAGCGAUGGUGGUGUUGGUGCUGCAAAGGAUGGCACAGUUUUGGUGGUAAAAUGACAGUUGUCUUGGAUGGUGGUAACAGUGAUGGUUGAGAUUGGUGUAAGGAUAGCAGGGGUCAUGGGUCAAAAUGAUUUUUUAACGAUGCUUUGUGUUUCGGUGGUGAUGAUAGUGGUAGUGGUGUCGGCACCAUGACAGCCCUCUGUUUGAUGGUGCUGGUGACAUCUGCCCGUCUUCAUGGAACCGAUGGAUGUGGGUGCUGGUAUCAGUGUGAAACUUAAUGGUGACUUUGCCAUCGUUCGGCUGAUGGUAGUGGUGAUGAAGGUGGUGCUCACAGGGACAGCGGCGGGACAGUGGAGGGACGCAGUGAUAGGGAGGGUGGUCGUGGAGACAAGGAUGAAGACUGGGAUGGCGGUGACUCCAUGGCGAGCCGUACCGCUUCUGCAGAGACCCCCGGAUUGCACGAGCUGGACACGGGUCUCCUCGCUGUGGCUGACUGUGCCGGGUGGGGGGAAAGGGUCGCACAUUCCUCCAAAGCCCUCCUUCCCACAGCUGCAUUCCUGGUGAAGCUCAGUUCUCCAUGCAGGAGAUGGCUAUCUUUGGGGGGGGCGGGGGAUGGCGCUGAGAAACAGGUCUGUGGCCAGGAACGUAAACAGAGAGGCUCUGUGAGGCAGGUCACCAGGGCACAGGUAUGUGAGGCAUGCCUACAGCGGGGGUUGUGCUGGGGGCAGGGAGGCAGCUGAAGUGGCCGUGCAGGGGCUCACGUAGCUGGUAGAACAAAGGCUGUAUUUCGGCUGAGUCAGCAGAGCAGGCUGGGACUGAUUCUCUUGGACUAAUAAUGUGUCUUCUCCCUGGGAUUAGCUCACUCGGUCCCCGCUGGGAAAAGGGGAGGGGGCAGGCUCUCCCAUCUCCCCAGGCUCAGGGGCCUUGCAGGAGGCUGGGAGGGAAGCAUAGGGCCCUAGCAGGGUUAGUGAUGGAACCUAUGUGUUGUGUCCUCACCUCAUUUCCAGUGGGCACCCAUUUGGCUGGCAGGGUGCCAGCCUC